GAGACAGGAAACAUGACCAAGCUUUUUUUUUUUUUCUUCUCACUGCUUUCUUGUAGUCAGAUCUUUGCUAGAAUAAUAAAUGACAACUUUUUUUUAGUUUUGUUUGCAGCGCAUCAACAGAUUCCAAUUCCAACUCACUUUGGUGGUCCGCAAAAUGACAACAAAACUUUUUUUUAAAGGACAAUAAAAGAAUUUGAUGGCUGCCUUUGAGGAUCUGCGAAAAUGUGAUCAGAUGUGCAGAAAUAGGGCGUUGUGCACCAACCUUCUUAUGACUCAUCGUUAAUGGUGAAGAUUUAACUAAGGGUAAGGAUUAACUUUUAUUUAAUUUUAUUAUUUAUUCAUCACUCUUACUAUUGAUUGUUUGAAUUUUUGCCUUCUUGUUUUUAUAUUGUGUCGCGUACUUGUAUGUCUAUCGUGUUAUGUGUCUCGUCACCGUGGGAUAGAGAAAAACGUAAUUUCGGUCUCUUUGUGUGUUGUGACGUGGAGAGAUUGACAAUAAAGCUGACUUUGACUUUGACUUUGAACUUCCGACUCUCUGCCAGGUUGUUUUUUUUUAUGUGGCAGCAAGUUGGAUAGGACAAACCGGUUGAGAAAAAAAAAAGUGCUUGUUGGAAACUAUUAUUGACUGGGAAAAAACGAAAUCAACAAAGCCGAUUCUGCUGGUUCAUUGUUCUCGUCUCCGCAAUAUUUUGGUUUAACUACUUUUAUCAUGACAUUUUUAUUAUUUCCCGGCUUUUGUUUAUACAAGCACCAAAACUUGUUUCAUUCACCAACAUUAGAUUCUCACGCAGAGAAACAUUGGUUCUAAAUUGACCAUUAUUGUUUGCUAACACUCGCUCGAUCAAUCAUGUCGGUCCAUGUGUAUCCAAAGAAUUUGUAAACGACAUUUUAUUGUAAAACAUUAAAACAGUGAAAGUGAAAAAAAGAAUCCUUUCCUCAAGUAGCGUGACUCUUAUCGACAACAUAAAGUGACAACAAAUAGUACAAAGUCAGCAUCAAAUGUGAACUAGCCUCCACCCGUGUUAAAUAUGUACAUUUUCCAGUUGUAAACUAUAAAUAUAGUUUGGCAUUUGAAAAUAAAAACAUUGCACUUAAAAAAAA